CGGUGAAUACGUUCCCGGGCCUUGUACACACCGCCCGUCAAGCCAUGGAAGUUCGGUGGACCUGAAGACGGUGCCCUUCACAGGAGCCGGUUAGGGUAAAACGGAUAACUGGGGCU
rnacentral:rRNA from 1 species